GGGAAGAGGGGGGGGGGGCGGUGAGAGUGAGGCACGGAGCGGGGGAUAGUGGAACAAAGGGGGCAAGCCUGAAGAAGAGCAGUGAGGGGUGACUGGGGACCGUUUUCCCGAUGUAACGAUCUGUCGACCGGAAAAGAAGUGCAUGCUGGUUAAUAUCCAUCAUGCUUGACGGUACCGCUAAAGGAAGCACCGGGUAACUCCGUGCCAGCAGCCGCGGUAAUACGGGGGGUGCAAGCGUUGUUCGGAAUCAUUGGGCGUAAAGCGCGUGUAGGCGGCUGGACAAGUCAGAUGUGAAAGCCCUGGGCUUAACCCAGGAAGUGCAUUUGAAACUGUUCAGCUAGAGUAAGGGAGAGGAAAGUGGAAUUCCUGGUGUAGAGGUGAAAUUCGUAGAUAUCAGGAGGAACACCGGUGGCGAAGGCGACUUUCUGGCCCUAUACUGACGCUGAGACGCGAAAGCGUGGGUAGCAAACAGGAUUAGAUACCCUGGUAGUCCACGCUGUAAACGAUGUUCACUAGGUGUUGGGGGUAUUGACCCUUCCAGUGCCGCAGCUAACGCAUUAAGUGAACCGCCUGGGGAGUACGGUCGCAAGAUUAAAACUCGAAGGAAUUGACGGGG
rnacentral:rRNA from 1 species